rnacentral:rRNA from 1 species
GAUGAACGCUGGCGGCGUGCCUAAUACAUGCAAGUCGAGCGAACAGACGAGGAGCUUGCUCCUCUGACGUUAGCGGCGGACGGGUGAGUAACACGUGGAUAACCUACCUAUAAGACUGGGAUAACUUCGGGAAACCGGAGCUAAUACCGGAUAAUAUAUUGAACCGCAUGGUUCAAUAGUGAAAGACGGUUUUGCUGUCACUUAUAGAUGGAUCCGCGCCGCAUUCGCUAGUUGGUAAGGUAGCGGCUUACCAAGGCAACGAUGCGUAGCCGACCUGAGAGGGAGAUUCGCCACACUGGAACAGAGACUCUGCCCACACUCUGACGGGAGGCCGCAGUACAGAAUCUUCCGCGAUGCGCGAGAGCCUGACGGUGCAACGCCGCCUGAGUGAUGAAGCUCCUCGGCCCGUAAAGCUCUGUUAUUAUUGAAGAUCUAAUGUUCAAGUACCCAUGCUCGUCUUGACGGUACCGAGUCAGAAAGCCCCGGCUAACUCCGUG